ensembl:lncRNA
AGAGACAGGUCAUUAAAGAGCAGGUAGGGGUUAGACAGUACAGAGACAGGUCAUUAAUGAGCAGGUAGGGGUUAGACAGUACAGAGACAGGUCAUUAAGGAGCAGGUAGGGGUUAGACAGUACAAAGACAGGUCAUUAAGGAGCAGGUAGGGGUUAGACAGUACAGAGACAGGUCAUUAAGGAGCAGGUAGGGGUUAGACAGUACAGAGACAGGUCAAUAAGGAGCAGGUAGGGGUUAGACAGUACAGAGACAGGUCAUUGAGGAGCAGGUAGGGGUUGGACAGUACAGAGACAGGUCAUUAAGGAGCAGGUAGGGGUUGGACAGUACAGAGACAGGUCAUUAAGGAGCAGGUAGGGGUUAGACAGUACAGAGACAGGUCAUUAAGGAGCAG